GUCGUCUAAUAGUUAAGACUAUUGCGUUUUAAGCAAUAUAUACUGGUUCGAUCCCAGUCUU
rnacentral:tRNA from 1 species